rnacentral:rRNA from 1 species
UGGGAACCGGCGUAAGGGGCAGUAAUGCGUGGGUACCUACCUUAGGGUUCGGGAUAGCCAUCAGAGAUGGUGGGUAAUACCGGAUGACGUCGUGAGACCAAAGAUUUAUCGCCCCGAGAGGGGCCCACGUGAUAUUAGCUAGUUGGUGAGGUAACGGCUCACCAAGGCGAAGAUGUCUAGCGGGUGUGAGAGCACGACCCGCGCCACUCGCACUGAGACACUGGCGAGACAC